UUUGUCUCUCUCAACCGGCCUCGUUGGAUUAUGUGACUAUGCAACUUUGAUUAACCUAUUUUCUUCUCAAGAUUACAGUAUUGAAAGCCUCAGAUCAGCACGAUCUGCAUAAUAAUAAAAUAACCAGAGAAAUCAACUACUAAACAAUUGUAGCCAUGUAGGGAGAAAGGUUAGUAUUGUUGGCCGGUUCCUAUGAGCUCGCGGUAGAGAAUCAAGCUUGGCCCUAAGAGGUCUUAAUCAUCUGAUGCUAUUCUCAAACUGAGUAGGAGGCAAGAGAUGUGCUUUGUUGGUAAAGAAAAGACCAUACCUGUUUUGAAGAAGGGCAAUCAAAGAAAAUAUGUUGCUCAUUUCAGCAGCUGCAUUGGGAUAAAUUACAAUUCCAAACAAGAUGUCGGCUUUGACUUUCGAGAUUUGGAAAAGUUCAAUAAUGCCUUAUUGGCAAAAGAAGCUUGGCGUCUACUAACAUAUUCUAACACACUC